GGAGGGUGCAAGCGUUAAUCGGAAUUACUGGGCGUAAAGCGCGCGCAGGCGGGCUGGGGUCAGUCGGGAUGUGAAAGCCCCCGGGGCUUAACCUGGGAAUUGCAUUCGAUACUGCCCGGCUAGAGUAUGGGAGAGGGAAGUGGAAUUUCCGGUGUAGCGGUGAAAUGCGUAGAUAUCGGAAGGAACACCAGUGGCGAAGGCGGCUUCCUGGCCCAAUACUGACGCUCAGGUGCGAAAGCGUGGGGAGCGAACAGGAUUAGAUACCCUGGUAGUCCACGCUGUAAACGAUGAGAACUAGAUGUUGGGAGGGUUAGCCUCUCAGUGUCGCAGCUAACGCGUUAAGUUCUCCGCCUGGGGAGUACGACCGCAAGGUUG
rnacentral:rRNA from 1 species